ACGGGUGAGUAAUGCCUAGGAAUCUGCCUGGUAGUGGGGGACAACGUUUCGAAAGGAACGCUAAUACCGCAUACGUCCUACGGGAGAAAGCAGGGGACCUUCGGGCCUUGCGCUAUCAGAUGAGCCUAGGUCGGAUUAGCUAGUUGGUGGGGUAAUGGCUCACCAAGGCGACGAUCCGUAACUGGUCUGAGAGGAUGAUCAGUCACACUGGAACUGAGACACGGUCCAGACUCCUACGGGAGGCAGCAGUGGGGAAUAUUGGACAAUGGGCGAAAGCCUGAUCCAGCCAUGCCGCGUGUGUGAAGAAGGUCUUCGGAUUGUAAAGCACUUUAAGUUGGGAGGAAGGGCAGUAAGCGAAUACCUUGCUGUUUUGACGUUACCGACAGAAUAAGCACCGGCUAACUCUGUGCCAGCAGCCGCGGUAAUACAGAGGGUGCAAGCGUUAAUCGGAAUUACUGGGCGUAAAGCGCGCGUAGGUGGUUUGUUAAGUUGGAUGUGAAAGCCCCGGGCUCAACCUGGGAACUGCAUCCAAAACUGGCAAGCUAGAGUACGGUAGAGGGUGGUGGAAUUUCCUGUGUAGCGGU
rnacentral:rRNA from 2 species